GCCCACGUGGCUCAGUGGACAGAGUGUCAGCCUGCAGACUGAAGGUUCCCCGGUUUGAUUCCUGGUUAGGGCA
rnacentral:tRNA from 1 species